AGCGGGGUGGCGCAGUGGGAGCGUACUAGGCUCAUAACCUAGGGGUCGGUGGAUCGAAACCACUCUCCGCUA
rfam:Oxytricha trifallax strain JRB310 Contig4165.0 macronuclear, whole genome shotgun sequence.